rnacentral:rRNA from 1 species
GAUGAACGCUGGCGGCGUGCCUAAUACAUGCAAGUCGAACGGGGAGUACAUACUUCGGUUUAUACUCCUAGUGGCGAACGGGUGAGUAACGCGUUGGUGACCUGCCCCGAAGAGGGGGACAACAGCUCGAAAGGGCUGCUAAUACCCCAUGUGGUCACCGAGACUAGAAGCUCGGUGACUAAAGGAGCAAUCCACUUCGGGAGGGGCCUGCGUCCCAUCAGCUAGUUGGUAAGGUAACGGCCUACCAAGGCGAAGACGGGUAGGGGGCCUGAGAGGGUGGCCCCCCACACUGGCACUGAAACACGGGCCAGACACCUACGGGUGGCAGCAGUAGGGAAUAUUGCACAAUGGGCGAAAGCCUGAUGCAGCAACGCCGCGUGCGCGAAGAAGGCCUUCGGGUUGUAAAGCGCUUUUCUGGAGGAAGAGGAAGGACGGUACUCCAGGAAUAAGGAUCGGCUAACUACGUG